ensembl:lncRNA
GAGAGAGAGAGGGAGAGAGGUAUGGUUGGGUAGGUAGGUAUUUAUGUAGCUGGAGAGAGAGAGCGAGAGGUAGGUUGCUGGAAAAAGAGGUAGGUAGGUAGAUUGCUGGAGAAAGAGAGAGAGCGGUAGGUAGGUUGCUGGAGAGAGAGAGAGGUAGGUUAGGUUGUUGGAGAAAGAGAGAGGUAGUUAGGUAGGUUGCUGGAGAAAGAGAGAGAGAGGUAGGUAGGUUGCUGUAGAGAGAGCGGUAGGUAAGUAGGUUGUGGGAGAGAGAGCGGUAGG